AGGACGAACGCUGGCGGCGUGCUUAACACAUGCAAGUCGAACGGUGACCCAGGGCUUGCCCUGGUGAUCAGUGGCGAACGGGUGAGUAACACGUGGGCAACCUGCCCCUGACUUCGGGAUAACUCCUCGAAAGAGGAGCUAAUACCGGAUACGACCACUUCGGACAUCCGAUGGUGGUGGAAAGUUCUUCGGUCAGGGAUGGGCCCGCGGCCUAUCAGCUAGUUGGUGGGGUAAUGGCCUACCAAGGCGACGACGGGUAGCCGGCCUGAGAGGGCGACCGGCCACACUGGGACUGAGACACGGCCCAGACUCCUACGGGAGGCAGCAGUGGGGAAUAUUGCGCAAUGGGCGAAAGCCUGACGCAGCGACGCCGCGUGAGGGAUGAAGGCCUUCGGGUUGUAAACCUCUUUCAGCAGGGACGAAGCGAAAGUGACGGUACCUGCAGAAGAAGCACCGGCUAACUACGUG
rnacentral:rRNA from 1 species